AGUGAACGCUGGCGGUAGGCCUAACACAUGCAAGUCGAACGGGUGGCGGACGGGUGAGGAAUAGAUCGGAAUCUACUCUGUCGAGGGGGAUCACGUAGGGAAACUUACGCUAAUACCGCAUACGCUUGAAUGAGCCGAUGUCGGAUUAGCUAGUUGGCGGGGUAAAGGCCCACCAAGGCGACGAUCCGUAGCUGGUCUGAGAGGAUGAUCAGCCACACUGGAACGUAGACACGGUCCAGACUCCGACGGGAGGCAGGAGUCGCGAAUAUUGGAAAAUGGGGGCAAGCCUGAUCCAGCCAGACCGAGUUGGUGAAGAAGGCUUUCGGGUUGUAAAGCCCUUUUGUUGUAAAAGCGGUACCCAAAGAAUAAGCACCGGCUAAAUUCGUGCCAGCAGCCGCGGUAAUUC
rnacentral:rRNA from 1 species